rnacentral:rRNA from 1 species
CCUACGGGAGGCAGCAGUGGGGAAUAUUGGGCAAUGGGCGCAAGCCUGACCCAGCAACGCCGCGUGAAGGAUGAAGGUUUUCGGAUUGUAAACUUCUGUUGCUACGGACGAAGAAUGAGGGUAGCUCGUCUGAAAGCAGCGGCUAACUACGUGCCAGCAGCCGCGGUAAUACGUAGGGGGCGAGCGUUGUCCGGAAUGACUGGGCGUAAAGGGAGUGUAGGCGGCCUUGUAAGGUAGAUGUGAAAUCCUAAGGCUUAACCGUAGAACUGCAUCUAAAACUGUGCGGCUGGAGUGCAGGAGAGGUGAGUGGAAUUCCUAGUGUAGCGGUGGAAUGCGUAGAUAUUAGGAGGAACACCAGAUGCGAAGGCGACUCACUGGACUGUAACUGACGCUGAGGCUCGAAGGCGUGGGGAGCGAACAGGAUUAGAUACCCCAGUAGUC